rnacentral:rRNA from 1 species
AUUUUGGGCAAUGGGGGAAAACCCUAUCCAGCCAUCCCGCCGGGAUGAUGAAGGCCUUCGGGGUGUAAAAUACCUUUGGCAGGGAAGAAAAGGUAACUCCUAAUACGAGAAACUGCUGCAGGUAUCCGCAGAAUAAGCACCGGCCAACCACGUGCCAGCAGCCGCGGUAAUAAGUAGGGUGCAAGCGUUAAUCGGAAUUACUGGGCGUAAAGCGUGUGUAGGCGGUUCGGAAAGAAAGAUGUGAAAUCCCAGGGCUCAACCUUGGAACUGCAUUUUUAACUGCCGAGCUAGAGUAUGUCAGAGGGGGGUAGAAUUCCACGUGUAGCAGUGAAAUGCGUAGAUAUGUGGAGGAAUACCGAUGGCGAAGGCAGCCCCCUGGGAUAAUACUGACGCUCAGACACGAAAGCGUGGGGAGCAAACAGG